AUGAACGCUGGCGGCGUGCCUAAUACAUGCAAGUCGAGCGAACAGACGAGGAGCUUGCUCCUCUGACGUUAGCGGCGGACGGGUGAGUAACACGUGGAUAACCUACCUAUAAGACUGGGAUAACUUCGGGAAACCGGAGCUAAUACCGGAUAAUAUAUUGAACCGCAUGGUUCAAUAGUGAAAGACGGUUUUGCUGUCACUUAUAGAUGGAUCCGCGCCGCAUUAGCUAGUUGGUAAGGUAACGGCUUACCAACGCAACGAUGCGUAGCCGACCUGAGAGGGUGAUCGGCCACACUGGAACUGAGACACGGUCCAGACUCCUACGGGAGGCAGCAGUAGGGAAUCUUCCGCAAUGGGCGAAAGCCUGACGGAGCAACGCCGCGUGAGUGAUGAAGGUCUUCGGAUCGUAAAACUCUGUUAUUAGGGAAGAACAAAUGUGUAAGUAACUAUGCACGUCUUGACGGUACCUAAUCAGAAAGCCACGGCUAACUACGUG
rnacentral:rRNA from 1 species